rnacentral:rRNA from 1 species
GACGAACGCUGGCGGCGUGCCUAAUACAUGCAAGUCGAACGCGGUUACGGACGGGUGAGUAACGCGUAUGUAACUGCCUCAUAGCGUAGGAUCACUAUUCGGAACGAUAUCUAAUACCGCAUACUGUGAGAUGGAUCUGCGUUGUAUUAGUUAGGUGGUGAGGUAAAGGCCCACCAAGGCGACGAUACAUAGGCGACCUGAGAGGGUGAUCGGGCACACGGGGACCGAGACACCGGCCAGACUCCUUCGGGGAGCAGCAAGAGGGAAACAUCGGCAAUUGACGGAAGUCUGACCGAGGAAAGGCGGGGUAUGGAAGAAGGUUUUCGGAUCGGAAAGCUCUGUUGUGAGAGAAGCGGUAACUAACGAGAAAGCGCCGGCUAACUACGUGCCAGCAGCCGCGGUAAUUC